UACGAAGGGGGCUAGCGUUGCUCGGAAUCACUGGGCGUAAAGCGCACGUAGGCGGCUUCUUAAGUCAGGGGUGAAAUCCUGGAGCUCAACUCCAGAACUGCCUUUGAUACUGAGAAGCUUGAGUCCGGGAGAGGUGAGUGGAACUGCGAGUGUAGAGGUGAAAUUCGUAGAUAUUGGGAAGAACACCGAUGGCGAAGGCAGCCAUCUGGACCGACACUGACGCUGAGGAGCGAAAGCGUGGGGAGCGAACAGG
rnacentral:rRNA from 1 species